UACGUAGGGCGCAAGCGUUGUCCGGAAUUAUUGGGCGUAAAGAGCUCGUAGGCGGUUUGUCGCGUCUGCUGUGAAAACUGGGGGCUCAACCCCCAGCCUGCAGUGGGUACGGGCAGACUAGAGUGCGGUAGGGGAGAUUGGAAUUCCUGGUGUAGCGGUGGAAUGCGCAGAUAUCGGGAGGAACACCGAUGGCGAAGGCAGAUCUCUGGGCCGUAACUGACGCUGAGGAGCGAAAGCAUGGGGAGCGAACAGG
rnacentral:rRNA from 1 species